AUUGAACGCUGGCGGCAUGCCUUACACAUGCAAGUCGAACGGCAGCACGGGAGCAAUCCUGGUGGCGAGUGGCGAACGGGUGAGUAAUAUAUCGGAACGUGCCCAGUCGUGGGGGAUAACGUGGCGAAAGCUACGCUAAUACCGCAUACGAUCUAUGGAUGAAAGCGGGGGAUCGCAAGACCUCGCGCGAUUGGAGCGGCCGAUAGCAGAUUAGGUAGUUGGUGAGGUAAAGGCUCACCAAGCCGACGAUCUGUAGCUGGUCUGAGAGGACGACCAGCCACACUGGGACUGAGACACGGCCCAGACUCCUACGGGAGGCAGCAGUGGGGAAUUUUGGACAAUGGGCGCAAGCCUGAUCCAGCAAUGCCGCGUGCAGGAUGAAGGCCUUCGGGUUGUAAACUGCUUUUGUACGGAACGAAACGGCGAGCUCUAAUACAGUUUGCUAAUGACGGUACCGUAAGAAUAAGCACCGGCUAACUACGUGCCAGCAGCCGCCGUAA
rnacentral:rRNA from 1 species